GAGGCUAUUCUUCAAGAAUGGAAUUAUUUAUUAGUGUAACUUUCUGGGGAGAUUUCCACAGAUGGCUAAUAGAUAUGUGAAUUCUUGCUACUCUGAACUUCAGCAGGUAACGUGCUUUAAUUUUGUUCACAGAUUCUUAGAUUAAAUAUGGUUUUUGAAUUCUGAUGUUCUCCAUGUAUUUACUGAAUAAUCUAUUGCUUUCUUAAAAAAAAGAAGAAAGAAAGAGAAAGAGGGAAAGAAAUAAAGAGAGAGAAAGAAAGAAAGAAAGAAAGAAAGAAAGAAAGAAAGAAAGAAAGAAAGAAAGAAAGAAAGAGAAAGAAAGAAAGAGAAAGAAAGAAAACUAAUUAGGCCAUGAAGGCUCCUCCAUCAUUAAGGGGGUUAAGGCUCUUAUGAAAGAGGCUUCAUGCAGCAUCCAGCUAGCUUGCUUGCUUGUUCCCUGCCCUCCUGCUGUGUGAGGAAACAAGAGAUCAGCACUCACCAGACAACCAAAUCUGCAAGCACUUUGAUCUUCGACUUCUCAGUUUCCAGAACUGUGAGAAAAUAAAUUUCUGUUCUUUUUGAAUUACGCAGUCUCAGGUAUUUUGUUGUAGCAGCACAAACAGACUAAGACAUUAUCUUUGAUGACAAAGACUCAGAUAAUUCAGCAAUCUAUUCUAAGCUCAUAAUAACAGUUUGCAAAUGACCAGUUAGAAAACUGUGCCCAUGUGUUUGCAGUGGAAUUUGACAUGUCUGAGGCUGUGAAAUUAUGGCUAAAGGAAUUAUGGUAUAAAAAUCUUGGCUUAAUUAUAGCCAUAGAAAACAUAACAAUGGUGACAAGAAUUUCUUAGUAAAGGUAGGAAAAAAUGUGUUUUCUUUUAAGAAAGGAGGGAAUUUGAAGAUGACCUCCUUGCUAGCAUGUCACACUGAAUAACAAAAACAGAGUGCAUCAUCUGUAUUUUUAAAAUUUAUUCAGCAUUUAUUAAACUAAAAAUAAAAGAACACUAUUACAGACUCAGGCGGUGUGAUAGCAGUGAAUAACAUAAAUUCAAUCCCUGAAGUCAUGAAACAUUCUGAACAGUGGGAGGAGAAUCAAUUCAUAAAGAAAAAUUAAUAAUAAAUAUGAGUUCAUGCUAUAAAAAAAAGCAAGAAAAUAUGGCUAGAAUUACAUAUAGAGUAGACGUGUAGUUUGGGAGGAUUAUAUUCUGGUCAUUAUUGAUUUUCUUUUACCAUAUCCAACAUUCCUUGCCCCUUGCUGCAGAACAGAACUCCCAUUUGUCUUUGGGAAAACAAGUUCAUUUCUACCCUCAGUCUAUGAGUUUCAGAUAAUGUUUACUGCACCCCCAACACACACAGAGACAAUUACAAGUUCUCAUCUCCACCUCUGGGGUGGAUAUGUAAUCUCGCAUAUCUAAUCAGAGCAAUACAAACCUUGGCCCAAGUGAUUAGAUUGAUUGGAUAAAUAAGUGGCACAUGAUCCAAGCUGAGCCAAUGAGAACCUUCUUUGAGACUUUUUUGGAACUAUUGGGAAAGAUACACUCUCUCCUUCUGAGAUCUCUGCUGUUAGGACCAUGUAAGUAGAAGCUACUAGGGGUCACCUUUGUAAAUAACAGAGAAAACCUACCUGAAAAUGACGCAAAAGUAGAAGUAUAAUUGAGAGAUGAAAGACACUGAGCUUACUCUGUUUCCUGAAAACAUGCAUCUAGCCAAGACUAAGCUAUCUGAAAACUUGAAAAUAUGACUUUUGUGUUAUGUGAGCUAGCUAAUUUCCAAUGCUAUGCAAGUUAAUUUAAGACUUACCUUUUUUGUCCCAUAUACAUGAAAAAGUUUUUAUUAAUUUGGCAAUUAACAGUGGCUGGGCAUUUACUGCAUUCUAGGCCCAGCGAUAGCUAACACUGUGUGCUGUUACAAGAGUUAUCACAUUUAAUCCUUAUCCUUUUUUAAAAAAAAAUUUUGGAGAUAACAAGUGUGAAGUUUAGAGAUCUCACAUAGCUUGGCCAGGCUCACAGCUUGCAAAUGGGAAAGCUGCAAUUAAACUCUGAAGACUAUGCUCUUCAACAAAACACAACACUGCUUCUCUGUUCAGGCAGCUAACAGCACUUGCUGCCUUAUACCUCAGCAAACUCUGCCUAAGCCCCUAAAGCCCCAGGCUACUGGCCUGGAAAUGGUUCAAACAAUAAUAUAGCCAAGAGAAGUCUAGAACCCUUGAACGCUAGGUCUUCUCUGCCAAUUUCUGCCUAGAAUAAAAUCAAAAGGACAAUAUAUCCAAUGCCCUAGAUAACCACAGCUACUAAGACCCAUUUACAUAGGAUGCAUUCUUUAUAUUUAGCACUCCCUAAAGCAUAUCUUAAAUUCUACAGGCAGCCCAGGAUCUUGUUUAUGCAGAAGGGAUAGGAGAAAAUAGAAAAAAUCUUCAAAAAUAUUUUCUCUAUAUACUUCUAGGAGACCAUGUAAUAUACUUUAGAAUAAAUGUGUGUGUCUGUAUAUACAUACAUACUUAUAUACUGUAUAUAUACAAUUACAUAUACAUGAAUAAACAUAACUUCACUAUAUACACAUAUACAUUAUGCAUAUUUAUAUAGACAUAUGUAAUGUACAUGUAUAUAUUUGUAUAUUUGAACAUUUAUGCAUAUAAAAUACAUUUUCUAGAAUGAGCUAACAAUUAACAAAAUAAGACUAUCCUAGUUUAAAUGGAAAAUG
rnacentral:lncRNA from 1 species